ensembl:piRNA 21ur-554 ncRNA
UUGGACUUGUGCUGUUUUCGC